rnacentral:piRNA from 1 species
UGAGCAGUGCUUGAUGCUGUACUCUGUGC